rnacentral:rRNA from 1 species
UACGUAGGGCGCAAGCGUUAUCCGGAAUUAUUGGGCGUAAAGAGCUCGUAGGCGGUUUGUCGCGUCUGCCGUGAAAGUCCGGGGCUCAACUCCGGAUCUGCGGUGGGUACGGGCAGACUAGAGUGAUGUAGGGGGAGACUGGAAUUCCUGGUGUAGCGGGUGAAAAUGCGCAGAUAUCAGGAGGAACACCGAUGGCGAAGGAGGUCUCUGGGCAUUAAC